ACAGCAGCAGCCGCGGGAAUACGGAGGGGGCUAGCGUUGUUCGGAAUUACUGGGCGUAAAGCGCACGUAGGCGGCUUUGUAAGUUAGAGGUGAAAGCCCGGAGCUCAACUCCGGAAUUGCCUUUAAGACUGCAGAGCUAGCAGGUGAGAGAGGUGAGUGGAAUUCCGAGUGUAGAGGUGAAAUUCGUAGAUAUUCGGAAGAACACCAGUGGCGAAGGCGGCUCACUGGCUCAUACUGGACGCUGAGGUGCGAAAGCGUGGGGAGCAAACAGGAUUAGAUACCCGGGUAGUCCUGUCUCUUAUACA
rnacentral:rRNA from 1 species